CCAGAGCUUAACUCUGGAACUGCCAUCAAAACUUUUCAGCUAGAGUAUGAUAGAGGAAAGCAGAAUUUCUAGUGUAGAGGUGAAAUUCGUAGAUAUUAGAAAGAAUACCAAUUGCGAAGGCAGCUUUCUGGAUCAUUACUGACGCUGAGGAACGAAAGCAUGGGUAGCGAAGAGGAUUAGAUACCCUCGUAGUCCAUGCCGUAAACGAUGUGUGUUAGACGUUGGAAAUUUAUUUUCAGUGUCGCAGCGAAAGCAGUAAACACACCGCCUGGGGAGUACGACCGCAAGGUUAAAACUCAAAUGAAUUGACGGGGACCCGCACAAGUAGUGGAGCAUGUGGUUUAAUUCGAAGAUACGCGCAGAACCUUACCAACACUUGACAUGUUCGUCGCGGCUCUAAGAGAUUAGAGCUUUCGGUUCGGCCGGACGAAACACAGGUGCUGCAUGGCUGUCGUCAGCUCGUGUCGUGAGAUGUUGGGUUAAGUCCCGCAACGAGCGCAACCCUCACUUUUAGUUGCCAUCAUUUAGUUGGGCACUCUGAAAGAACUGCCAGUGAUAAGCUGGAGGAAGGUGGGGAUGACGUCAAGUCCUCAUGGCCCUUACGUGUUGGGCUACACACGUGCUACAAUGGCAUUUACAAUAGGAAGCAAGAUGGCGACGUCAAGCAAAUCCUAAAAAGAUGCCUCAGUUCGGAUUGUACUCUGCAACUCGAGUACAUGAAGCUGGAAUUACUAGUAAUCGCGGAUCAGCGCGCCGCGGUGAAUACGUUCCCGGGUCUUGUACACACCGCCCGUCACACCAUGGGAGUUGGUUCUACCUUAAGGCAAGGUUUAAAACCCUUGACCACGGUAUAGUCAGCGACUGGGGUGAAGUCGUAACAAGGUAGCCG
rnacentral:rRNA from 1 species